CAGACCCCCAUAUAUGGUAAUGUAAACACGGCGCUUCGUAAGCUCUCUGGAGCGUGCGCACUAAAAUGAAUGAGCACAGGAAGACCCGCUCCGGCAGGAAGUGGCAGCCGCUGCCAUGGCAACCAACUGAAACCCGAGGCAGCGAGGGAGAGAGCCUCGCGCCUCUCGCUCGCUGUCUUGACGUCAUUUCUAGUACGGCGCGACUGAGCGGCAGCAGCUGCGGCUCACACGCGGGACAAACAAAGAAGUUUCAUCAGAAAAGCCACGCGAGAGGGACGAGGCAAAUAUUUUGUCUGCGUUUCAAGACCCGUGCGUCAAAGCUAAGUAACAUCAGGCCUCCACUGGACUCCACCAAGGGUGAACCACUUGUCCAUGGUGGGAUGAGUGGAACGUCUAGAAGCCUUUUGUGACAGGUCUAUAAGCGGGGACGGAUGCGGCGGAGGAGGCGCGAGGGCCCUGUGACAUGCGGCGCGGCGCCGCGUGCAGCCGCCGAGGCGUCUGCCGCACGCGGGAGCGGCGCUGCCUUUGUGGGAGGACGGAGCAGCCAGAUGAUCACACGUGUUGUUGGAACAAGCGCCCCCGUCGCCGCUGCACCCUCUCCGUCCCUCACAAAGGCCUCCAUUUACCUCUCCAUCCACUCCCACCUCCUCCCCCCAGCCCUUCCUGCCGUCACGGCCUUGUUUAUGAGCCUCUCCUCUCGACGGACAGGUUAACAGAGGACCUGGCUCGGCUCAGGCCCACCAUUCGUUGCCUAAUAAGACAUUUCAUCUCCCUCCGUACGGUCCCGCUCGCCGGCGGCAACGCUGCCUCCCAAAGCCGCUGAGCCUGAGUUAUGCUUGCGUGCGCUGCUCUCAGCUCUGCGGAGGCCUUCAGGUGCAAAACACAAACACAUUUCGCCCAAUCAGAUAAUGAAAUGGACGCCGGCGAUACAGAUGGGAAUGGUUUUUCAGAUUUUGCAUCAUAUAUUGGCUUCCUGCGACGCUGCCAGCGCAUAUGGUAAUAACCAUACAUCACAGAGCCGCAUGAAAGUGGUGGCUCGGUAAAUGUGGGGGAAAGAGCAGGCUGUUCAUGUUAAAUGAUCAAAUGAUUCUUUUUUAUUCUAACUGUCUCAACAUGUUUAUGCAUCCAUCUACUACCUUGACAUCCACUUUUGCCCAUGCUACAUGUUGUAUAUUACACCCCACAUUGCCUGAACUUCACCAAUGCACAGAGACUUCUGGAAUUAUUAAUACAAAUGGUAAGUACCUAGUUUAGCUGCUGACAUGUUGUUUCACUUUAUUUACUGUUCUCAUAUUGUGUUUUGUGCCUCGGGGCCAUCGUACCAGAGUCCACAAUUAGAAACAGAGGAUGAAAACCAAUGAAAGUAGCUUCCAG
rnacentral:lncRNA from 1 species